UUCGACCCCAGGAGGACCGGCACAAGGCUCGGCUCUUUUGAGUUUACCGCCCCCACGAAGCACACGCAAGGAGCUGAGGUCGUGGCACCAUGUUCGGUUCCCCGGGAACCUCGGCGGGGUGGAGGCAGGCCCGACCCUCCCGGGGGUUCACCCCACCUCGCACGCAGGCUCCUGAGGUUCUCCACACGCACCUGGAGCUGGCAAGGGCCCGCCAGCGGCGCAUCUCAAAGCCAGGGGCUCGCGAAGACAGCAAGCAGCUCGUCCGCGGGGUCGGCUCGGCGGCGGGCUCAGUGCGCAGGCGCGGCGCUCCGGAGCGCUCCGAAUGCGGUCCUGCCGGAAACAGCCUCUCGCGAUCUCUGGGCCCGCGCUCGCUUCUUAGAGGACCCCCGGGUCCUAGCGCGUCGUUUCCCCGUACUGCUAUUUCCAAGUAAAGAAAACAGAAGACGCCAAAAGGGUACACUUCCCAUUGUUGCCAACCCAUCAUUAUGGAAAUCCCAGACAGGACUGACUAUCUACAUGCUUCUGCAGGUGACAGAUGGCUGUGGGAGGGAUCCCACAUUGAAGCAUGACAAGUGUGACAUACAUGACUGCACAGAUGCUUCAGAUUCCUCCCAAAGUCUGCAAGAAAACCGAUAUGAAUUCCAGAUCCUCCAAGGGGAGACUUUCCAUCAUCAGGAAGAGUGAGUGGAGGAAUCCGAACAUGAAGUCAGGUUUAGGAAAGGGCACUGCGCUGGAAUGUUGCAUCUACCCGUGAAGAAUUCUGAGAUUAGGUACAUCUUUUUCUUUAGGUACCUUAUGCAGCAUCAGUUUUGUAACAGCAUUGUGUAUCAUAAAUUGACAAAAUACAAAUUAAUUCUCCUUCAUAGUUAAUAUUCUCCCUUAAUAGUUAACUCUAU
rnacentral:lncRNA from 1 species